rnacentral:rRNA from 1 species
AAAUUGAAGAGUUUGAUCAUGGCUCAGAUUGAACGCUGGCGGCAGGCCUAACACAUGCAAGUCGAACGGUAACAGGAAGAAGCUUGCUUCUUUGCUGACGAGUGGCGGACGGGUGAGUAAUGUCUGGGAAACUGCCUGAUGGAGGGGGAUAACUACUGGAAACGGUAGCUAAUACCGCAUAACGUCGCAAGACCAAAGAGGGGGACCUUCAGGCCUCUUGCCAUCGGAUGUGCCCAGAUGGGAUUAGCUAGUAGGUGGGGUAAUGGCUCACCUAGGCGACGAUCCCUAGCUGGUCUGAGAGGAUGACCAGCCACACUGGAACUGAGACACGGUCCAGACUCCUACGGGAGGCAGCAGUGGGGAAUAUUGCACAAUGGGCGCAAGCCUGAUGCAGCCAUGCCGCGUGUAUGAAGAAGGCCUUCGGGUUGUAAAGUACUUUCAG